AUCCCAGAUUAACUCGCUUAGCUGUUCUUCUGAUUCAUGGGAGGCCAAGAUCGAUGUUCCCUGGCCAUGUUU
rnacentral:snoRNA from 1 species